rnacentral:rRNA from 1 species
UGAACGCUAGCUACAGGCUUAACACAUGCAAGUCGAGGGGCAUCAGGAAGAAAGCUUGCUUUCUUUGCUGGCGACCGGCGCACGGGUGAGUAACACGUAUCCAACCUGCCCUUUACUCGGGGAUAGCCUUUCGAAAGAAAGAUUAAUACCCGAUAGCAUAAUGAUUCCGCAUGGUUUCAUUAUUAAAGGAUUCCGGUAAAGGAUGGGGAUGCGUUCCAUUAGGUUGUUGGUGAGGUAACGGCCCACCAAGCCUUCGAUGGAUAGGGGUUCUGAGAGGAAGGUCCCCCACAUUGGAACUGAGACACGGUCCAAACUCCUACGGGAGGCAGCAGUGAGGAAUAUUGGUCAAUGGGCGCUAGCCUGAACCAGCCAAGUAGCGUGAAGGAUGAAGGCUCUAUGGGUCGUAAACUUCUUUUAUAUAAGAAUAAAGUGCAGUAUGUAUACUGUUUUGUAUGUAUUAUAUGAAUAAGGAUCGGCUAACUCCGUGCCAGCAGCCGCGGUAAUACGGAGGAUCCGAGCGUUAUCCGGAUUUAUUGGGUUUAAAGGGAGCGUAGGUGGACUGGUAAGUCAGUUGUGAAAGUUUGCGGCUCAACCGUAAAAUUGCAGUUGAUACUGUCAGUCUUGAGUACAGUAGAGGUGGGCGGAAUUCGUGGUGUAGCGGUGAAAUGCUUAGAUAUCACGAAGAACUCCGAUUGCGAAGGCAGCUCACUGGACUGCAACUGACACUGAUGCUCGAAAGUGUGGGUAUCAAACAGGAUUAGAUACCCUGGUAGUCCACACAGUAAACGAUGAAUACUCGCUGUUUGCGAUAUACAGUAAGCGGCCAAGCGAAAGCAUUAAGUAUUCCACCUGGGGAGUACGCCGGCAACGGUGAAACUCAAAGGAAUUGACGGGGGCCCGCACAAGCGGAGGAACAUGUGGUUUAAUUCGAUGAUACGCGAGGAACCUUACCCGGGCUUAAAUUGCAGUGGAAUGAUGUGGAAACAUGUCAGUGAGCAAUCACCGCUGUGAAGGUGCUGCAUGGUUGUCGUCAGCUCGUGCCGUGAGGUGUCGGCUUAAGUGCCAUAACGAGCGCAACCCUUAUCUUUAGUUACUAACAGGUUAUGCUGAGGACUCUAGAGAGACUGCCGUCGUAAGAUGUGAGGAAGGUGGGGAUGACGUCAAAUCAGCACGGCCCUUACGUCCGGGGCUACACACGUGUUACAAUGGGGGGUACAGAAGGCAGCUAGCGGGUGACCGUAUGCUAAUCCCAAAAUCCUCUCUCAGUUCGGAUCGAAGUCUGCAACCCGACUUCGUGAAGCUGGAUUCGCUAGUAAUCGCGCAUCAGCCACGGCGCGGUGAAUACGUUCCCGGGCCUUGUACACACCGCCCGUCAAGCCAUGGGAGCCGGGGGUACCUGAAGUACGUAACCGCAAGGAUCGUCCUAGGGUAAAACUGGUGAC